CCACGACUGCCCACCUCGGGCGGGCGAGCUGCCCUCCGCCCGGCCCGCCGUCCUGGGAGACCUCGGGCUGCAUUGCAGGCGCGGCCUCAGAAGUCGCCUCCACGGGCGCCAGGUGCAGCACGGUGGUGCUCAUUAGGCCUCGGAAGGCGGGCCAGGCUCACAGUGCAGCCUUCUGAGAAUCCCCGGAGAAGAAAGGAAUCAAAGGCCGGGGAUUGGGAAACAAGGAUGAGGAGAUAAUGAAACAAGAUUCCUAUCUGAAUAAUUUCCUUUAAUUGCUGAGGGACACGGCAGGCUCACCCAGUGUCUCCUUCGUGCACCCGCUGGGUUCUGCUGGGAGAGGCCUGAUGACCCGCUUCCCCUCACCUUUCCCACUCGUGGCUGCAAAUUCUGGCCAGGGAGGCCAAGGCCAGCGUGAGAGAGAGCCUUCCCGGGACUCCUGACCAGGGUGUAUAAAGAUAAAAGCCUGCUCUGUCAUGGUGAGAAGGGACAGAAGCACACAGAUGAGCCCUCCCCGGUGAAAGCCAUGUGCAUGCUUAUUUUUGGUGUUUUAUGGGCCUCCUCAAAAGAUGAGAGAUGGAAAACAGAACUAUACCCACCCUGAGCUCUGUGGCCUGAAGAGUGGAUGGAAGGAACCAACCUAUUUUACAGAUAGGCAUCUGGAUGUGUAUUUAUGGCUUUCCAAACGAUGCUGUCUCGAAGAAAAACUAUCCACAGCGACGACUCUACGGAGAGGGCUGAGCCAGAGCGAAGUUCAAGGCUUUCUCAUGGUCUCCCAGGGACGCCUGGGACUCGAGUUUCUGAAGCAGACAUUGACCAAUGGGCUAUGGUUUGGGUCCUACACAGCAGCCUGCAUGCAGGAAGACCAUGCUCACUGGGGCCUCGACAGCACCCAGAGUGCCAGGAGUGAAGCAAAGCAUUGUAGCUGUGCACACUGACAGGGCAGGGGUGAGGAUAGGCCAUUGUUCCUCCUCCUUCUUCAUCUCCCCUUCCCUCCCUCCUGACUUCUCUCCUACCUUUCCUCUCUCUCUCUCUCUCUCUCUCUCUCUCUCUCUCUCUCUCUCUCUCUGUUUCUCUCUGUCUCUCUGUCUCUGUCUCUGUCUCUGUCUCUCUCUCUCUCUCUCGUUCUUCCCUCCCUCCUUCUCCCCUUGUUCUUUGUGAGCCAGGGUCUCAUGCAGUUCAGGCUGGCUUCAAAUUCACCAUGUGACCGAGGAUGACCUUGAACUCCUAAUGCAUCAUCUGCUUACACCUCCAGAAUGUGGGGUUACAGGAAUGUCCAGCUCAUCAGUGCUGGGGCAGAACUCCAGGCUUCCUGGAACUAGGCAAGUUCUCUGCCUACUGGGCCCCACCUCCAGCCUCCCUCCUUUAGACAGAGUCUUGCUAUGUAGACCAGGCUGGCCUUGAACUCACUGUCCUUCCAACCUCUGCCUCCGAAGGAUGAUUGGCAGGUAUGAACCCUAUCUCUUAUGUCUUAGCUCUGUCUCUUACAGGCUGUGUGACAGCCCAGGAGUGGCUUUUCUACACAGGCAGGCAUAUAGUAGACAUUUGCAAACUACCGAACCUUUCUAAGUCUCUGUUUCCUCGUCCAAAAGUGAGCAAUAGCCGGGCAUUGGUGGCGCAUGCCUUUAAUCCCAGCACUCGGGGAGGCAGAGACAGGCGGAUCUCUGUAAGUUUGAGGCCAGCAUGGUCUCCAGAGCAGGUGCCAGGAUAGGCUCCAAAGCUACACAGAGAAACCCUGUCUUGAAAAACCAAAAAAAAAAAAAAAAAAAAAAAAAAAAAAAAAAAAAAAAAAAAAGCAAAAGUGAGCAAUAACUAACUGGCCAGGAGUCCUGAGGCAUACAAG
rnacentral:lncRNA from 1 species